GACGAACGCUGGCGGCGUGCCUAACACAUGCAAGUCGAACGGAAAGGCCCUGCUUUUGUUGGGUGGUCGAGUGGCGAACGGGUGGGUAAAACGCGAGGAAACCGCCCCUGAAUUUGGGGUAACAUUAGGGAACUGGGGCUAAUAUCCGGUAGGAGCUCCUGCUGCAUGGUGGGGGGUGGAAAGUUUCGGCGGUUGGGGAUGGACUCGCGGCUUAUCAGCUUGUUGGUGGGGUAGUGGCUUACCAAGGCUUUGACGGGUAGCCGGCCUGAGAGGGUGACCGGCCACAUUGGGACUGAGAUACGGCCCAGACUCCUACGGGAGGCAGCAGUGGGGAAUAUUGCACAAUGGGCGGAAGCCUGAUGCAGCAACGCCGCGUGCGGGAUGACGGCCUUCGGGUUGUAAACCGCUUUCGCCUGUGACGAAGCGUGAGUGACGGUAAUGGGUAAAGAAGCACCGGCUAACUACGUG
rnacentral:rRNA from 1 species